CAAUCGAUACUCUGACUUGUGGUUACACAUCAUCAUCCAAUUUCAGCUUUUUUCCAAAUUUCCCUGCAUUUUGACUGCGUAAAUUGCAUCUAAAAAAAUAUGGGAAUUUCUCGGGCACUUUUACUCGUAACUUUGUAUCUUCUCCAACUUCAACACGGUCAAGUGUCCGGUCAUGGCAGAAUGAUGGACCCACCAAACCGAUCCUCGCUGUGGAGACUGGCCGAGUAUGAAAGCUACAACCCACCAAUAAAUUACGAUGACAAUCAACUAUUUUGUGGAGGAUUUGUUCUCCAAUAUCAACACAACGGAGGAAAAUGUGGCGAAUGUGGAGACCCCUAUAAUUCUACGAGGCCAAGAGAUAACGAGCAUGGGGGGCUCUAUGGACAAGGAAUUAUCACAAAGACGUAUAGAAAGGGACAGGAAAUCACAAUCUCUGUUGAAAUAACGGCCACUCACAUGGGCUAUUUUGAAUUCCGAAUUUGUAACAUGGACCGAAACCAUGGUCCGGAAAAUGAAGCUUGUCUCAACCAAAAUUUGCUCGAAUUGAGCAAUGGAAUUCCAAAUAUUCCGACGCGUUACCCGAUUCCGACAAAUGGGCUGGGGUGGCACCAUGUAAAAGCGAGACUGCCAAGUGGACUCGUUUGCACACACUGUGUCCUCCAGUGGCACUACCAUACGGGUAACUCAUGGGGCGAAUGCGAAGACGGAUCGUAUGCAGUAGGCUGUGGUAAUCAAGAAACUUUUCGGGGAUGUUCCGACAUUGCCAUUUCAAAUUAAGGAUAACAGGCUAUUCACGUCAAGGAGAAAAUUGUGUGUCUGACAUAAAUUGGCGCAAAUAAAAUUUAUAAUUUAAACUUAUAAGUAUCAUUUAACCUUAGGAGAAUAUUUAACUAAUCAUACUUAUUCAAACUUAUGAUAGAAAGAGGAAACAAAUGAAUGAAUUUUUUGCAACUAUACAACUAAUUGUUAUAUAAGAAGCGCUGUAUUAUUUAUAAAUUGUGUAUUAAGUACUAUUAAGCAGAAAAAAAUUGGCAUACGGACAUUUUUUAUCUGGUUACCUUUACUGAUAUACUCACACUGCUCACUUCCGUGAGUGUUAAUCUGUCGGCAUUUCUAUGUACAUAUGCAGAUUCCAACCGACUUGUCUUAUUACCUAUCAUUACCGAUGGCAUACCCGACUAUUACAAGUUUAAGGAGUUACAUUGUAGGGUUCGCAAACUGAAUUUUUAUUUGAGCGUGGUCACUGACCCAAAUCAUCCUCCUAAUCCUCCAUGUUUUCAAUGGUUUGGGCAUCUCUUGGAACUUUCCAUACAUUUAUGGACUUGACACGUGAUAUUCUGAUACGUGAAAUAUGGGUAGUUGUUGUAUUUGUGUCGUUUGAACUCCAGAUCAUACAUAUCAUGCAUGCUUUAGGUAUGUACAUGAUAGACUUAUACAUAUAGACUUCUAUGCAAAUCUAUGAUGUACAUACAGUACAACUCGAUAUCAUUAAAUUCUAAAUGACUUAAUUCAACAUGGGGACAAGGGACAAGGUUGGUCAUAAGUCAUGAAAUUAGAAUGACCCUAUUUCUGAGCACAUAAUGAACUGCAUGGAUGCGGGUAAAUGUCACGAGUGUGAAAUUUUGCGGAAAUCGUAAUUGCAUUGUUUAAUUUGAUAAAACAACAGCGUGCAUGUUGUUUCAAUUCUCCGAAUCACACAAAAUUAAUGAUCGCUUAUUUAUGGAGAUGGAUAAGUAGUAACUUUUCAGAAUUAAUU